rnacentral:pre_miRNA from 1 species
AGCUUUUCGAAUCCGUGUGGAGAUUUCGUCAGACGCUAACUCAUUUGGGCUGAUUAGACUUCCAAGAUAAGUGAAAUU